CAGAUUGAGCCACGUAGGAUGACACAUAGAUAAUUCGUUUAACGUCGUGCUGACACGUCAGCACGUGUCCAAGGAGGCUGAAGCGUCGUUUUGGAAUUUAGGUUUCUAUCCGUCUUUGUUCUACGCCGUUCUUAAAGUCGACGUGAGGAUUCUAUUCAUUGGGUUUCGAUCGCGUUGUUUGAUCUUCCAGGAUGUGUGUAAGUCGAAUCGUCAUGAGGAAUCACUGGUCGAUUUUCAUUGGCAUCGUUUCGUAUGCGAUUCUUCCCCUCUAAAACGUUAUAACAUCCAUUAAAAUCGCCAUCAAUAACCAUCUUUACUUCUUCUAGCACCGCCGGCACGAUCAAUCAUUCACCGCUUAUUAUCUUAUCUUGAGUCGGUGGAUAAUACCUAUAAAAAGUGCAGCCUUCUUCCAUCAACUCAUACUCCUCCUCGAUUCUAAGGGCCAGAGCCAUAACCAUGGACUCUUUCGGAUCUUAAUAUGUCGGACAGAUCUUCCGAACAUCUCAUGGUUUCGGUGAUUCUUGCUUGGCUUACCAAGGCAGGAGUGAAGAUGGGGGUUCUUGCUUGGCUCAAAGGUGAGGAUUGGAGCAUGGUGAGUCGAGAGUGGUUUGGACAGGACGACCGGUUCGACUUUAAGCUCCGACCUGUGAUCCUUCUGAUGUAUCUACAGAUGGAAGAUGACAUCUCACCUUCGGAAGUGUCCGUCUUGGAUUGCGAAUUUUGCAUCAGUGGUCCCGGUAGUUAUAUAGUACAUGUUUGUUGAUGAGAAUGGUAUUGGGUUUGUUGAGCUUAUGGGUUUUUACAGUGAAUCAUUAUGAUGUAUGCUACGUAAGCCAGUCAGAUGUCGACUGCUACAUUACUCCUGAGUCAGCAUUUUAUCUCGAAUGAAAAGGUGGACUCUUGAAGUUCAUUGAGACACAGAACAAGUUGAUUGGUCACAUGGUGAUUGUUCUUGAUGUAGAAGCAGAGCAGGAGUUGAUGUGCAAAAGCAUUGAAUCUAACAGACUCCUCUGAUAACAAUCUUCUUAUAGAUGUCGCUUCUGGAUACCACAAAGCAUGGUGAUGAAUCUCAGAUACAUAGAUCAUACCUACAUGAUUCGGACUGUUCAAGCAACGCAUCAAACAAUGUUGACCGUAUACUUCUUUCCCAUAGUGUUGUUGUUAAUGGUGCAUGGCAGGUUACACUAGCUACAUCAGUAGUCUUAUCAAAUGGACGACAAACAUACAUUCCUUACAGCAGUAUAACAUAGAAACAAAACAAUAUGGUGAUUACGGAUAGGAUGUGGACAAGGCUAAUGUUUUAGACGAAUCAGCCCAGUUUUUAGGCCCAAAGGAUAUAAUCAAGGAGAAGAAAGAGGUGCCGGAAAAGCUACUUCUUAAGAAAACUGUGAUAGAGUUUUUGAUUUUCCUACGGCUUCUUAAGAGAUCGCUAAGUGAAGUGCUGUGCUCAAGACGAAGCUGAACUGUGUAGAAGCUUCACGUUCUACCCUACGAAUAAGUGAAGAAGUAUGAACAACAUUUUUGAUUACGUAUUUUUUAACACUAAAUUGUCAUUGUCGUCAAGGAGAAAAUAAAGAAUCAGGAAUAUAAAAGUGGCUUCAUUGUGUACGGUGUGUUAUGAUUCUGUAAAUAACACAGAUUGUAUUGUCUAUUUUUUUUGUCGAUGAUUGUA